CCUACGGGAGACUGCAGUGGGGAAUAUUGGGCAAUGGGCGCAAGCCUGACCCAGCAACGCCGCGUGAAGGAAGAAGGCUUUCGGGUUGUAAACUUCUUUUGACAGGGAAGAGCAGAAUACGGUACCUGUCUCAUCAUCCACGGCUAACUACGUGCCAGCAGCCGCGGUAAUACGUAGGUGGCAAGCGUGUUCCGGAUUUACUGGGUGUAAAGGGCGUGUAGCCGGGCUGACAAGUCAGAGGUGAAAUCCGGGGGCUCAACCCCCGAACUGCAUUUGAAACUGUUGGUCUUGAGUAGCGGAGAGGCAGGCGGAAUUCCUAGUGUAGCGGUGAAAUGCGUAGAUAUUAGGAGGAACACCAGUGGCGAAGGCGGUCUGCUGGACGACAACUGACGGUGAGGCGCGAAAGCGUGGGGAGCAAACAGGAUUAGAUACCCCAGUAGUC
rnacentral:rRNA from 1 species